UAAUACAGAGGGUGCGAGCGUUAAUCGGAAUUACUGGGCGUAAAGCGCGCGUAGACGGUUUUGUAAGUCAGAUGUGAAAUCCCUGGGCUCAACCUGGGAACUGCAUUUGAAACUGCAUGGCUAGAGUAUCGAAGAGGGAAGUGGAAUUUCCGGUGUAGCGGUGAAAUGCGUAGAUAUCGGAAGGAACACCAGUGGCGAAAGCGACUUCCUGGUCGAAUACUGACGUUCAUGUGCGAAAGCGUGGGGAGCAAACAGGAUUAGAUACCCUGGUAGUCCACGCCAUAAACGAUGACAACUAGAUGUUGGGAGGGUCUGCCUCUCGGUGUCGCAGCUAACGCGUUAAGUUGUCCGCCUGGGGAGUACGGCCGCAAGGUUG
rnacentral:rRNA from 1 species